CAACCAAAGCAGAUAGCCCAAAAUCUCAAGAUGUCUUCUUCUGCAUCAUUCACUUCUUCUCUCUUCAGCCCCCUCAGGUCAACCAGCAUCAGUUUUAUCUCUGCUUCUGCUACUCAUGUUGUUUAUAUGUCCCCAAGGAAGUCACUAAUUAACAGGCACCAUCAGUUUCUUACUAGAUACAACGCAUGUCGUCCCCAGCUUUGUAAUAAGAAUGAGUUAUCAUCAAACCCCUCUUAUAAAUUUGCUUCUCUUUAUGCACUUCAACUAAUUUAUUACACACAGCCGCCACAACCGCCGCUAUACCUGUAACAGCAAUGCCUUCUCCCCAGUGUCCAAGGAUUUCUCAGCUCACAAGGCUGGUUCCUCGUCAAAAAGGCUUUGAUAUUGUGAUUCGAAUGUUGACUGAUAUAGUGGAGAAGCACUACCCUGAUGCAUUAGUGAUGGAGCAAAGUCCUAUAAGGAUGCGGGCUCUGAUUUUAUGCAAAUGCAUCUACGAAUUUACAGGAGAUGUUAUUUCAGGAUCUCUUGCCCUAACAAUAUUAAUAUCAUUCAUGGUGCGCCCUGAUCUGGUGCCAUAUGUCUUCAUCAUAUGGGCUACAUUUGUACUCGUAUGUGUGUGGUUUCAUAUUUGAACGACAAUGGCAGUGUAGUGUAUGAUCCUAAGACAUAUGCACAACUCUAGCUACGUUGGCUUUUCUUUAUGAUAUCAUCCCAAAAUAAAAUGUUCCAGGGACCAAAUUGUGAAAGCUUGUAUGUCUGCAUUUGACUUUGUAAUAAUGUCUUCCAUGUUCUCUAUUUGCCUU